UACGUAGGUGGCAAGCGUUAUCCGGAUUUACUGGGUGUAAAGGGCGUGUAGGCGGGGAAGCAAGUCAGAUGUGAAAACCACGGGCUCAACCUGUGGCCUGCAUUUGAAACUGUUCUUCUUGAGUGCUGGAGAGGCAAUCGGAAUUCCGUGUGUAGCGGUGAAAUGCGUAGAUAUACGGAGGAACACCAGUGGCGAAGGCGGAUUGCUAGACAGUAACUGACGCUGAGGCGCGAAAGCGUGGGGAGCAAACAGG
rnacentral:rRNA from 1 species